UAAACCGAGAUAUUAAUCUCUACGCCGCCUACCUCACCUCAUUUCUAUGAGCCAGUUUUUUCGCCAAAUCCCAAAAGGGGGAAAAAAGAAAAAAAUCAGCCAGCGACGUCGUUUCCCUAAUAAACACAGAAUUAGGGCUUUACCGCCCUCCCCCUUUUGAACUCGUCCCAACUUUCUGAAAUCAUCUCCUUUUAUCAGGCGGUUGCUUUAUGUGGAUCUCCUUAGCGCUCAUGAGAAGUUUACAAGCUUUCUGGGAUCCCAAGAAAUUGAUGCCUGUUGCUGACCCCCCCUCCCCCCCAUCACUGCUCGUGCUUAAAGCCAUUAUUUUUUUCUGGCUCCCAAAAUGAGGUGAAAGAGGAAUGCUGAAUUUGAAAAACGAACUUCACUACCUUGUUGAUUGGUUUCAAAGUGCAAUCAAUGAAAACAUGGUGUUGGCUUUUGAUGCUAUCAAAAACCGUACCUGGUAGACCUCCCGAACUUGAGGACUGAAAAAGAGCACGAACAGAGUCUUUUGAUACCUGAAACAAAGGCAACGAAGUGUGUUCUCGUCGUCCCUCCGAUGCUUAAGUCAGACAGAGAAUUUAUAUGAGAACAUAUACUGAAAUUGUAUGUAAAAGCAUACCUGAAUAAUGGACUUGGGUCAUGUAUUUAUAGAGGUAGGUAGUGUACUUCUAGUAAGAUUGAAUUAGUUGCAUAUUCUUAUCCAAUAGAGUCCUACUUGAUAAGAGUGUUUUAUUUGUAAUAUAAUUGCAUGAGCAAUGACGCUAUUGUUGGCAUAGAAUUCUUGUGGACAUAGGAGUCCUGGGUUGAGAUGUUUGAAUUAUAUUAGAGUCCGUAGAAUGUAAGAUUUCUUAUGGGCUUGACAAAAGGGGGGUUCGGUAUGAAACGAAUAGCUUGAGGACUCAUGAACCCCAUAUAUCAAAAGGAUGCUUGAGGACUUUUGCCCGAGGACACCGCCGACCAAAUCACGAUGAUGCAAGUCGCUACUCCUCGGGUGUAUUACCCCGAGGACUAUGUCACCCCGAGGACUGUGUGCCCCAAUAUGUGAUGAGCAAGACCCUGUGAGUCCUUGGGAAAAUCACCUCGGGAGGUUGCCAAAAGUGACUACAUCAGCUUUCAUUUGGAAAGUAAGCAUACCUUUGAUUUAUGUGUUGUAUAUUUGAAGAAGAAUAGAGGAUAUAAGAGUUCUUAUAUGCUGAAAGUAACACGAACAGUCUAGUUUCUAAGUUUUGACUGUAUAAAACUGCCACCCUCGAGGAGGAGACUAUGGAAAAGGAACUCAUAAGGUGCAAAAUGAGGAUGUUGUCAAGGAUAAUGCCACACAACCAGAAUAUGAAAACCUCUAGUUUCAAAUCGGCAAUCUUUGAAUGUAGUGUUCUGAUGAUGCAGACAAUACUAAUAUAUUCAGGUAUAUCAACGUCUAAUUAGAUAAUCAAGUUCUGUAAUAAAAAAAUUGUACUUAGUUAUACGAAUGAAUUGUUACUUAA